rnacentral:rRNA from 1 species
UACGAAGGGGGCUAGCGUUGCUCGGAAUCACUGGGCGUAAAGGGUGCGUAGGCGGGUCUUUUAAGUCAGGGGUGAAAUCCUGGAGCUCAACUCCAGAACUGCCUUUGAUACUGAAGAUCUUGAGUUCGGGAGAGGUGAGUGGAACUGCGAGUGUAGAGGUGAAAUUCGUAGAUAUUCGCAAGAACACCAGUGGCGAAGGCGGCUCACUGGCCCGAUACUGACGCUGAGGCACGAAAGCGUGGGGAGCGAACCGG